UACCCCUUCCGUUUGGGGCAAUCCUACUGAGAUAUGCGUCGGUGGCAACGCUGAGGUAUAAAACUCUCAGGACAAUAUGGUGGAAUUUAAUAGACUAAAUUAAAUGAACUGUUAGGAUAAGAAUACCAUGAAGAAACAUAACGUUGAACCA
rfam:Candidatus Methanoperedens sp. DS-2015 MPEBLZ_contig000083, whole genome shotgun sequence.